rnacentral:rRNA from 1 species
GCAUCACUGGUGUUCGGGUUGUCAUGCCAAUGGCACUGCCCGGUAGCUAAAUGCGGAAGAGAUAAGUGCUGAAAGCAUCUAAGCACGAAACUUGCCCCGAGAUGAGUUCUCCCUGACCCUUUAAGGGCCUGAAGGAACGUUGAAGACGACGACGUUGAUAGGCCGGGUGUGUAAGCGCAGCGAUGCGUUGAGCUAACCGGUACUAAUGAACCGUGAGGCUUAACCUUACAACGCCGAAGGUGUUU